CUUAUUUCUUAAAGUAAUAAGCACCGCAAUCUGGGGAAGCCAGGGGGCAGGCGACGCUGGGCCGGCGCGGGCUGGAGCGCCCGCAGGGGCGGGCCGGGGUUCGGGGCGCUGCCGGUGGUGACGCGCGGUCCCCGCCCGCCGCGCCACUGCGAUGGCUGAGCCCGGCCGUCGGACGCCGCCGCCAGAAGCCUGAUCGAGGGGAACCUUGCAUUUGAAUUAAAACCUAAGAGGAGAAGAACAUGUUGGAUGUACGCCAGGAAGCAAACACAAGUGGAAGUGAGAUUCAAGAUUCCCCCUUCUGCACUCCUGCCUACCUUUAUCUUAGCAUGAGCCCUGACUCUCCCUGAGGGCAGGGACAGGGCAGAGACCAAAUCCCCCUUGACCUCCCAGGCUCCCAUCACCUCGGAUCCGCCCACUCUGGGGACAGAAGUGAAGCUGUAGUGUGGACCUUCUCGUGACUGCUUAUCUCAACAAACAUCACUUCUUCAAGACUCAUCCAUGGUGCACUGGGAGGUGAUGGCAUCCCCUUCUGUCUUCUUUUUAAUUAAAAAAAUAAUUUAUUUUUA
ensembl:lncRNA